rnacentral:rRNA from 1 species
GAUGAACGCUGGCGGCGUGCCUAAUACAUGCAAGUCGAGCGAAUGGAUUAAGAGCUUGCUCUUAUGAAGUUAGCGGCGGACGGGUGAGUAACACGUGGGUAACCUGCCCAUAAGACUGGGAUAACUCCGGGAAACCGGGGCUAAUACCGGAUAACAUUUUGAACCGCAUGGUUCGAAAUUGAAAGGCGGCUUCGGCUGUCACUUAUGGAUGGACCCGCGUCGCAUUAGCUAGUUGGUGAGGUAACGGCUCACCAAGGCAAGGAUGCGUAGCCGACCUGGGAGGGUGGUCGGCCACACUUGGACUGAUACACGGCCCAGACGCCUACGGGAGGCAGCAGUAGGGAAUCUUCCGCAAUGGACGAAAGUCUGACGGAGCAACGCCGCGUGAGUGAUGAAGGCUUUCGGGUCGUAAAACUCUGUUGUUAGGGAAGAACAAGUGCUAGUUGAAUAAGCUGGCACCUUGACGGUAUCUAACCAGAAAGCCACGGCUAACUACGUGCCAGCAGCCGCAGUAA